AAGUCACUCCAUGUGACAUAUUAUGGCUGACAUGAUUUGCCACAAGGUGUAUGAAUUAUUAAUGCGUAUUUUAAUUAUAGUUUCAAACACUCAUUAAUAAUUCAUAAGCUUAUUGGCAAAUCAUGUCAACCAUAAUAUGUCACAUGCAGUGACUU